GGACGAGUUCUUCGAGUACAGACUCCAUGGUAUCCAACCUUGCAUCAUACCUCGCUUGACUUUGUUCCAUCCGGUGGAGGGCACUAAGGAGCUCCGUGUUACUGACUACAACCGGGGGUGGGUUGUUCGGCAAAGUGCGGGGGUCCUGUAUGUGCACCGGUGAGUAUGGUUCUACUGAUUCAUCUUCAACAUAGUAAUCUCCUUCAUACGGGUCAUCAUCGUGAUUGGCCAUCUCUUCCUCUUCGAGAUUUCACCUAGUCCCCUCCUUCUAGCCCCAAUUUGUUGAUAGAGGAAUUUGGUGAAUCAACAAACGUGAGGUUCGUUGCCGGAAUAAGGUGUUUCACGGUGAUUAUAUGACGGAAAUCCGCCGUGGGCGGUGGUUUUAAGUGUUUGAGGGUGGCUGAGAUCAAGGGAAUAUAUUUCUGCUCUCGUUCUCACAACUCUCGAUAUAUCCCCCUGAUGUGCCUACGUACCCCUUUAUAUAGGGGAUCAAGCCAUACGUAGUUCUAUGGAACCAGGAGUCCUAGUUUGAUCAGGACUAGGCCUCUUGGCGAUAAGGUCGGAGAUAGGCCGAAGGCCCAUCCUGGAGAGUCCUACUCCUGUUAGAAUUAGUCUUGAGUAUGACCACCUCAGACUCCUAAUCCAAAUAGAUCACGGAUUCAACGAUAUCUCCACUACGAGAGAUAGCAUCUACCACGACUCUUAUGGAGAAGUUAUCUGGGAUGCAGAUCAUGCCCGGAUGAGCCCGAGAACUAUCAGAUGAGCCUGAUAACUACCAAAUGAGCUUGGUAACUGAUCUUCAUAUCCCUCGGGAGGGUCGUCACGGAGACUCACUCAUCCUCUCUCUCUCAUGUAUUUCAUAAUUAUGUCACCUCUUAAGUCAAAGGGCGCGCCCUUCGCGGGGACCUUGUCUUCAUGUUCUUCUUACUGGACAAGAGACCGCACCUCCCGGGUCAUGUCCGGGGAGGGCGCGUCCUCUCCCUAACACGGUGUACAAAAACGGCCACAACAAAGCCCACUAAACUCUAAACCAAAUUUGACACUAAAUUCUACACUAAAUAGCCCCUAAAGUACCCAUUUCUUGAUCAAAACAAGAUUCAAACCAAACCAAAACAACUCCAAAUCAUACCAAACUUCAAAUCUAGCCUAUAUAAAAUAUAACUAACCAAAACCCACUAACCUCAAGUCAAAAUCAUAAACUAAAAUUUACACCCAAAAGCCCUCAAAAAUACCAAAAUCAAGAACAAGGAGAACACCAAAUCUUACCAAACUAACUCCAGUACUCCCCAGAUUCUUCUAUCAUUAAAAAUGUUAGGGGAAUCUAACUUCGAAACUAGCUUAUCUACCUUGUCUCUAACAAAACACCAUCAAACUACAAACCAAAAUAUCAACUAAAUCAUUUAUCGCAACUGCUAUCUAAUGCUCAAACGCUAAUUCAGCUAUCGACACGACGCGUCCUUUCCAAGGGGCGCGUCCUCCUCCUCUGACCCUUGCCUGACGAAUCCAUACCAUUUCACCUGUUAUUUAAUUUCAAUUUCAAAAUCGAAAUGCCAGCUGUCGCCCUCCUCCUAUAAAUACCCCUCAUUCUCUCAUCUUCUCCAUUUUCUCAACCGUUACUUCUCUCUCCGGCGACGCAAGCAUUCCGGGUACACUACAGCAUUUUCCGGCCUCCAUUUGCACAUUUGAUCCGACCAAUCUCUUCUCCACUUCUCAAGGUACAUUUCCCACCCUUCCUUUUUCAUUUUUAUCCAGUAAAUCGAUAGAUCUGAGUAUAUGUCCCUUUAACUACCCAUGAGUUCUUCGUGUUCUUCAUUUUAUCCAUGUAUAUAUGUAUGUAUAUGAGUAGUCUUUGAUCCAUCUGUUAUCCGCAAUCACGUAACAAAUAUGUUUAUGCGAGCUACUUUAUACCUAUCAAGGCGCGUCCCUUGGGGACGGCGCGCCACCAGAAUUCAUGUUACGACCCUUUGAUUUGUGCUCACUCUCUUAUUCAUCCGUUUUGCCUUAGAGAUCAGAAGUAAUGAGAGGACGUGUCCUAUUAUGGGACGCGUCGUCCUCUCUUCUUCAUCCCUCAUCCGUUUCGCUUCACACUUCACUUUAACUGCUUCAUACUUUCUUACUUUGACAUUGUCAGGACGCGCCUUCACAGCUAAUUCAUUUUUUCUUUCAGCUGGCAAACGAGGGCGCGUCUCCCCCCUUUCAUCCAUUUAGAAGUUUCCUAGGCCAGCGGGGAAUCUCCAUCUCUCCCCUAGAGGUUUUUUCACCAUCACCACCCCGAUCAUCCUACAUUCUUUCUGAAGAAGAAAAAGAACGAAUCCUUGACAACCUGGCACAAGACAACAUGGAAUCCUCACAUUCCUCAACUCCCCAGGCCAUUACUCCCAACGCUCCCCUCCCUGAGGUUACUAGCUCUCAGACUGUCCACGGUCGCCCUUCUGACUAUGACUCGUCAUUUGAAGAUUGGCUUGGAGAUCCGGAGGGCGCGUCUGUCCCUUCUCGCAAAGGAAAGGGAAAACAAUAUCAGAUUAUCUCCUCGUCUUCUGAACACAGCGUUUCUUCCCCCCUUAGUGACAGGGGCGAUUCUGAUUACGAAGUAUCAGACAAGGGGGAACAAGGCGCGUCCUCUCGUGAAACUGUUGAAGAGAACGUUGAUGGAGAGACUUCACAGGGCGCGCCUUGUGGCAGAACCUCUAGAAUUCCUCCUUCUCCCCCGCCAUCUCCUGAGCCAUACACUCAUCCUCGCAUAGAGGCAUGGGAGGAAGAUGUGAAUUGGACAGAAUAUGAAGACAUGGAACUCUCCUCAAAGAUGGUUGAGGAGAUUAAAAAGAAUAAAGGCAAAUUGAGCUGCGUAGACCAAUCCUCCACUCUCUCUUGGGAAGAACUAGAGUGGACCAUGGAUUACUACGAGCAACAGGGAACUGCUGUGGUGCCUCUCGAGGAAAUGAGGGCACAUCGUUUUGACAUUGGGAACUACAGAGUUCCUCGUAUUGUUUUGACUCCUCGUCAUGUCAGCCUAGGAGUGGGCGCGCCUCUACACUCCUAUUUUGAGCAAAUCUGUGAAUGGUUCGACGUUGCCCCUAUCCAACUAUCGCCCAAUUCAUAUAAAUUGGCUGCAGGAUUGUACAUUUUGUAUAAAGACGAGGGAUACGGCGCGCCUUCCAUGGAGGAAUUGAGCUAUUUCUUCCGGCUCACCAGAAGUUCUUUGGGCUACUUCUUCCUUGUUGUCAGGAAGCAACACAACAACAAAGGAUUUAGUGAAGGGCGCGCCUCCCACAUCAAGAAAUGGAAAGAACCUUUCUUUUACGUCUAUGAUGUUAGGAGGGUUAGGACGCAGUUCAACAUUUCUCCAGGUUAGCACAUCUGUCCUUAGGACGCGUCCUUUCAUUUGUUAAGAUCCUUUUUAUUGACUUGCCCUUUACCUUUUUAGUUGAACGAGGGAUGCCCUCCUUAGAGGAUGAGGCUCUGGAGAGAGCGCAACACAUUCUGAACCUUCCUCACGAGAGGAAGAACAUGACACUUCUCGUCACCACCCCAAAUCUCGUUAGGGCUGGUUUUCUGUCCCCUAACAUAGGCUCUAAAGUGGGGUUUAAAGUAUUCAGGGACGGUAAACCCCUCACAGAUAGGAAGCAUAGGUUUUCUAGGAGAGAGUCCAGGGAGCCAAGCCCUGAUAACUUAUCUGGCCAAGGUACGGCUGGGCGCGUCCUCCCCUUCAUACUUAGAGGACGCGUCCUAUAUUUUUAGCAAGACAUUCUAGUUUUACCCAUUGCUCCCAUAUGUUUAACUAGAUAGCAUAUUGCUGCAUAUCAAUUUCGCCUUCUCUUUUAUUGUUCAAGUACCUAAUGCAUUCUUGCUUGACUUUUGUGCAGAUAUGGCCAACGUUCCCACCUUCUUGCAGAGAACAAUACUCAACACAGGGGAGGGCGCGUCCUCCAAACCUUCUGGCUCUAAGCGGGGCGCGUCUGAACUCGGUGCCCCGAAACAAGGGGACAAGCCUGACCCUGCCCUGGAGAGCUCUCGAGGGCCCAAGAAACUGAGAGUAACCAAAAAGCAAACCCCUUCUCAAUCCACCAGCCUUUCAACUCGUGCUUUGGGCGAGAUAGGCGCGUCCAUUGCCUCUGAUGAAGAGCUAAGGGCAUGGCGCGCCAAGUCUGACUCCGAGAAGGAUGAGUGGAUCCUCAAAGCAAGCUGCGAGAUGCUGGUCCACAACAUGGACCGAGAAAAUGCAAGGACUGCUCAGGGGACGCGCCUCCAGACUUUAGAGAAAGAAAUCUCUACUCUCAAGAAGGAUGCCAAGAAGAAUGAGAAGGCCCUCCAAGCUGCUGAGAGUGCUAAGAAGACAGCUGAGGAGGAACUCUCAACUGAGAAGGCGCGCCUUGAAAAAGAGAUCGCGGAUCUUAAGAAGGAGAACUCCAAGCUCGAGUCUGCCAACAAGGGUUUGGCAGAGGAGAUGUCCAAGGUGGAGGGCGCGUCCUUCUUCGAAGGAGUGUGCAGUCAUGUCGCCACCUUUCUUUCUGGUGAGCCCGACUACAACUGGCUUCCUAAAUUUGGGAAGACAGCGGCCAACUUCAUGGCUGAGUUCCCUUCUCAACACCCAGAGCUCUUGGCAGCCAAAAAAGCUGAACUGGCAGCCACCCUAGCCCGUGAAGCUGAGGAGGAGACGGCGCGCCAGGAGGGCGAUCACCAGGGAGAGGACGCGUCCGACCCUUAGUUUAUUCAAUCUGAAAAUGUGUCAAACAAUGAAUGUUUUAAAUAUUUCGAGGUGCGGGUCCUCUGUAAAACCUUGCAGAUUGUAAUUAUUAAUGACGUUGUUUUAUGGGGCGCGCCCUAAACUUCUAAUCGCGUUUUUUACAGUCUCUCGUUUGUCCUCCUCUUUCAUGCCUUCGUGUUUAUAAUCAUAUAAUAGUAUAAACGACAAGGCAGGGGAAGGACGAGCCUUUCCCGGGUGGGCGCGUCCUGCCGUGUGAACAUUGACAUGGGGGGGCGCGUCCUCUGCUUGGGGACGUCUAUCGAAUGCUACUUAGGAAACAUAACCUUCUUAAACCUUCUUUAAAGACAAUUAUAUUCUAUGUCAAUUAGAUUAACGCGCCGUCUUCCCGAGGAGGCGUCCUCAUAGGUGAUAAUUUCACUUGGCUUUACUUUGCAUGAAAGUUAUGUUCGCACUACUUCCCAAGUGAUUCGUCAUCUGAAUGGUGGGGGAGGGCGCGCCUCUCUAACUCUUAUAUCUCUUUGGAUAGUUCAUAUACUUUUAAGGUAUUAUUUUCCACACAGAAAGUUCAAGUGAAGAGGGGGCGCGGCCUCCACACAUCCAUGGGGACGCGCCUGGUGUAAUGUUUUUUCUUGUUUCCAUAACUUAUGAUUAUUAAGCCAUCAUCCUCCGAGCAACCCCUAUUAAACGGACAGGGGGGGAGGGGCGCGUCUUCCACAGAAUCUGGUGGGCGCGCCUGAUAUUAAGAAUACCUCACACAUAUUUUUGUAUGGAGAAAAGAGUGGCUCUAGGCCUUUUAUUAAGGAUAACUGAAUCAUAACGUGGCCUUUGGCCCAUAGUAAAUCUGAUAACUAAUGCGCUCGAGUACGAAACCGCACCCGUCCCAAGGAGCUGUUAACUCCAGGGGGACAUAAAAGGACUAGCAAGGGCCUUAGCCUAAAGAGGGGCGUAUGUAUACCACUCCCCUAGACUAGGGAUGAUGUUUAGUCAUUGCUAGUCUAUGUAGCCUGUGGCUACUGAUAAUAUUUCUUUAGAUGCUCCGCGUUCCAAGGUCUUGGAACGGGUUUUCCAUCUAGGUCUUCUAAUCUGUAAGUGCCCUUCCAUAAUAUGACCUUGACUCUGUAAGGGCCUUCCCAAUUGGCUCCAAAGACUCCAUGUUGGGGAUUUUUGUUGUUGAGUACAAUCUUUCUAAGGACAAGGUCCCCAACUUGGAAGGGGUGAGCCUUCACUUUGUUGUUGUAAUACUUAGCCGUCCUGCGCUGAUACGCGGCCAGGCGUAGUUGUGAUGUAGCUCUGAUUUCUUCAAUCAUAUCCAAGUAUAAUCUCUGACUUGCAUCAUUAUCCAGUUGGUCGAAGUAGUCUCUCCUGAACGAUCCUGCUCCAAUCUCAAUUGGGACCAUGGCCUCGCACCCAUAAGAUAGGACGAAGGGCGACUCCCCGGUCGUUGUCCUAGGGGUUGUGUUGUAAGACCAUAGGACCAUGGGGAGUUCUUCCGGCCAAUUCCCUUUGCUAUCUUCCAACUUUGCCUUUAGAGUAUGCUUGAUGAUUUUGUUGACCGCCUCCGUCUGCCCGUUGCUUUGGGGAUGGUACACUGCCGCAAAAUCUUUCUUGAUUCCGAGAUUUUCACAUAGGCCUCUUAGCUCUUUGCUGUCGAACUGCUUUCCAUUAUCCGAGAUCAGCUUGUAAGGGACUCCAAACCUGCAAACAAUAGAGUUAAAAACAAAAUCUGUUAUUUUCUUGGCUGUGAUGGUGGCCAAGGGUACGGCCUCUGCCCAUUUGGUGAAGUAGUCGACCGCAACCACUGCAUACUUCACUCCUCCCUUGGCUUUUGGGAGUUCUCCGAUCAAGUCUAUCCCCCACAUAGCGAAGGGCCAAGGACUAGUCAUGGUGGUGAGGGACGUGGCUGGGCUGUUGGUGAAGUUGGCGAAUCGUUGGCAUUUGUCACAUGCUCUGGCGAAAUUGAAAGCAUCACUCCUCAAGGUUGGCCAGUAGUACCCUUGCCUCAAGAUCUUCAUGGCCAAUGAGUUACCUCCCGAGUGGUUCCCACAUAUGCCUUCGUGGACCUCCCUCAUCACGUAGGUGCACUCCUCCCCAUCUAUGCAUUUGAGAAGGGGCUGAUUGAAGCCUCUUUUAUACAGCUUCCCAUCAUAUUCCACAUAUCUGGCAGCCUUGUAUUUUAACUUUCGGGCUUCAGCUUUAUCUUCGGGCAGCGUACCCUCCUUGAUGUAUUUCCAGAUCGGGGUCAUCCACGUUGAAUCUCCAUUCUUGCCUUGUAUUUCCGUUACCUCAAACUCGGGGAUGCUAGGUACCUCCUGUAUCUCUAGGCGGAUAACUCCCAAUAGGGCCGGAUCUUUCUGAGACGCUAACUUUGCGAGAGCAUCGGCAUCCCCGUUGAAUUCUCUGGGUACCCUGUUUACUUGCACCUCUUCGAACUGAUCUAUUAAUCCCUGAACACAUCUGAGAUAUAUCGCCGUCUUGGGUCCCUUUGCUUGGUAUCCUCCUCUGAUGUGCUCAACCACCAGCAUGGAGUCGACCUUUAUAACAAGCUUUCUUACCUUCAUUUCAAGGGCAAGCCUGAGCCCUCCGAUCAGGGCUUCAUACUCUGCGUCAUUGUUCGAGAGCUGGAAGGUAAAGUGAGUUGCGUUCAAGAGUCUAUGUCCUUCCGGACUUACGAGCACUAUCCCAGCUCCUGCUCCUUCAUUAUUCACCGCUCCAUCUGUAUGCAAUAUCCACCAGAGUUCGGGUAUGCUUUCCUUAGGGCAUGCCUGCUGAGGUGGUAGGUUGGGAUCAUAUUUGAUCAGGAGACCAGACUCCUCUCCGUCUUCCGGGAAUUCCAAGAUAAAAUCUGCUAGUGCCUGUCCUUUGAUGGCGGUUCUUGGUUUGUAAUCUAGGUCAAAUUGCCCCAACUCGACUGCCCACUUCAUCAUUCUACCGGUUACCUCUGGUUUAUGCAUGAUCUGUCGGAGGGGGUACGCCGUCCUAACCUCCACUUUAUGAGCCUGGAAGUAUGGUCGUAGUUUCCUAGUUGCAUGUACCAAGGCGUAUACCAGCUUCUCCAUGCUUGUGUAACGAGUCUCUGCAUCCAGCAACCGCUUGCUUACGUAGUAGAUUGGGGACUGCCCCUCCUCAUCUUCUUUUACCAAUACAGCACUUAUGGAGUAGUCUGAAACGGCUAAGUAAAGGACAAGCGUCUCUCCUUCCUGAGGUUUGGCUAAGAGGGGUGGCUCGCCCAAAUGUUUCUUAAUUUUUAUGAAGGCGUCCUCGCACUCCUCUGUCCAUUCGAAAUCUUUGGAUGCGCUUUUGAUGGCCUUGAAGAACUCCUUGCAUUUCUCCGAGGAUUUCGACACGAACCUGUUUAAGGCGGCUAUCCUUCCUGUCAGACUCUGCACUUGCUUAACGUUGGCUGGGGACUUCAUGUCUAGUAAUGCCUUGAUCUUUGCUGGGUUGGCCUCUAUGCCUCUGUGGUUAACCAUAAAACCAAGGAAUUUCCCUGACUCUACCCCAAACACGCACUUCUGCGGGUUGAGCUUCAUCCUGUAUUUCCUUAAGAUUUCGAACAUCUCUGACAAGUGGGCAACAUGGUCAGUGUCUUUCUUGGAUUUAACCAGCAUGUCGUCCACGUAUACUUCCAUUGUUUUCCCAAUCUGAUCCUUGAACAUCAUGUUCACCAAUCGCUGAUAAGUCGCCCCUGCGUUAAUAAGCCCAAAUGGCAUACCAAUGUAGCAAUAUAGACCCCUGUCCGUGAUGAAGGAAGUGUGCUCCUGGUCAGGCUCAUACAUGGGAAUCUGAUUGUAUCCCGAGUAGGCAUCCAUAAAGCUGAGGAGGGCGUGUCCUGCCGUUGAAUCUACCAGUUGGUCAAUGCGAGGGAGCGGGAAACUAUCUUUAGGACACGCCUUGUUGAGAUCCGUGAAAUCUAUGCAUGUGCGCCACUUCCCGUUGGGUUUCUUAACAAGUACGGGAUUUGCUAGCCAUUUCGGGUAGAACGAUUCCUUUACCAAUCCUGCUUUCAAGAGGCGAUCGACUUCCUCCUGCAGGGCCUCGGCUCUUUCUCCGCUGAUGGGUCUUCUCUUUUGUCUAGCACCUUUUUUAGAGGGGUCGACAUUCAGGUGAUGGCACAUAACUGCCGGGUCUAUCCCCACCAUAUCUUCGUGGCUCCAAGCAAAUACGUCGAGGCUAUUUGUAAGGAAUUCUAUCAGCUUGCUCCUUAUCUCUGGACCUAGUUUGGAUCCUAUCUUCAGGAUCUUGCCAUCACUCCCCGGUGUAACUUGCACGUCGAUCGUAUCCUCAGCUGGCCCUGUGUUCUGCACUUGCAUGGGUAAUCUCGGGUCUAAGUCGAAGUCGAAUUGGUGUGGGGUUUCUCUCGGUUCCGAAGGCGCGUCCGUAGACACUUUUUCGGGAGGAGAGGGCUCCUCUAAUUCCAUGACGACCUCCCGUGGAUCCAUCCUUCUGACUCUUUUUAGAGGUGCCUCUUCCACUUCGAUAACCAGUUCUUCACACUCUUCAGACGUCGAGUCAUCGACGAGAGUGGGCUCGCCCUUGUGAAGGACGCGUUCUCCGAGUGGUGGGAUGCUGGGCGUGUCUUCAUUGUCGCUCUCUGGAUAUUGAACGAGGUAGAGAACGUGGACUGAGCGUAGUUCCUCGUGGGGUGGCACUCCCCUCCUAUCUCGAAAAUUCUUAAGUGACCGGCCGUAGCAAUCGCGAGAUUCGUACUGGGAUCCCUUCACACAACCAACUCCUCCAGGAGUGGGGAACUUCAAAGUAAGAUGAUAAAUGGAGGUGAUUAUCCUCAUGUCUUUCAAGAGGGGGCGUCCCAUAAGUGCAUUAUGCGCCGAGGGAUGGUCGAUGAUUACAAACUCGGCAAUUUGAGUGGCUGCUCGUGGAGCUUCUCCUAAGGUGACUGGCAAGCGUAUGGUUCCUUUGGCUUUGAUGGCCUCUCCCCCGAAGCCAUAUAUGUAGAGAUUCUCCACAGUCAUGUCCUUGUCUGGUAAUCCCAUUUUCUUGUAAGUGUCGUAGUAGAGGAUGUUGACCGAACUUCCAUUGUCGACAAACACUCGGUGAAUGUUUAGGGCGGCGAUACGCAUGGCGACCACCAAAGCGUCGUUAUGGGGAUGGUGUACCCACCUCGCAUCGUCCUCCGUAAAAGUGAUGUCCAUAGUUUCUUCCUUAAAUACUCGUGGGGCUCUGGCCGACAGAUGGUUCACGUUGGUAAGAGGGUAGUCCUUCGCUUCCUUAGCAUAUCUCUCCAUUGCCUUUCGACUGCCUCCCCCUAUGUAGGGUCCCCCAAAUAUGCUCCUGAUGCUGCCUUCUCUUACAAACUGAGUAUCAUUCUGCUUUUCAUCUGCUCUGUCAUUCUGUGAAGCACCGAGGCCGCGUCUUUCCGGAGGAUGGUCUGUUCUGUACUUUUUUACCCACUCCGUUAGGUAUCCUUCUUUGAGUAAAUAUUCGAUUUCCUCUUUCAGAUGCCGACACUCGGAGGUGCUAUGUCCUGCUGACUCGUGGAAGUCACAAUACUUCUUUUUGUCUUUGGCUAUAUGUUGAGGAAUAGGUUGAGGUUUCUGGAACGGCACCUUAUCCUUGGUCAUCGCAUAGACGUGUUCAGCUGAGGCUGUUAGCGGGGUAUAUACUCCUGAUUGUCUCGGAGGAGGACUCCAAGUCCUUUUGCUCGAAGUCAUAUUUACCCUACCCGGAGAGCGGGCGCGUCCUCUUGGUUCUGGACUGGGAGUGCGAUCUUUUCUUUUGUAUUUAGAUUUGGCGAUCUCCUUUUGAUUUUCGGCCAGCGACUGCUCCACCUUUUUGAAGGAUUCGGCUGCGGAGUAUAGCUCGGACAGAGAGGCCGGGUCCUUCCCUUGGAGGUGCUUCCAGAAGUCGGUACCAACCUUGAGUCCAGCGAUAAGGAAGUUCUUCAAGGUUUCGUCUGAGGCUCCCUUCACUCCCAUAGAUUCCUGGUUAAACCUCUUGAAGUAUGCAGUCAAAGUUUCAUUGUCACGCUGCUUGACAUUGGCGAGUGUAGUAACGGGUGGUGCGUAUUUGGUCGCGGCUUGGAAUUGUGUCAUGAACAUCUGCUGCAUGCCUUCCCAAGAGGAGAUGACCCCUCCUCCCAACUUCUGAAACCAUUGUUGAGCGCUAUCCCUCAGAGUUGCUGCUAGGAACCUACACCUGACCAGGUCAGGGAUCUGGUAUAAGUCCAUUUCAAUGUUGAACCUGAUCAAGAAUUCGCGGGGGUCGGCGUUCCCGUGAUAGCGGAGAUCUGCAUUCGAGUUUCUGAAACCGGUUGGUAGCUGGGCUUCUCGGACUGCUGCGGUAAAUGGUGACGAGAUUUGUGGCGCCGUUGUGGCAGCGCUGGCUUGUAAAAGGGCCAGUAACUUCUUCAGGUCUUCGGGGUUGAUCGUUCCGACUCCCGGAAUAGUCUGAGUGCUUACCGGAGGGGUAGCAGUAGUAGUUGCUAGGCUUGUGUUGGUCACCGUGGUCUGAAGUACGUUGUUGGCUUGAGUCUGGGUAGCAGUUGGUUGGACGAUUUGUGUUGGAGGAGUAGGUGUGGUGGACACAGGAAUAGUUUGCUGCGGAGUGGGAAUGGGUGGAGUUGAUGUGGCUUGCUGAUUGACGGUGGUUAUGAUCGGAGGUGUCGUGGUUUGUUGAUUAGCAGUAGUUAUGAUUGGAGGUGUCGUGGUUUGUUGAUUAGCAGUAGGUGGGCCUUGGGGAGGUGUGUCUCCUUGAUUGCCAAGGGGGCGUGUCCUUCCCGUGGUUCUUGGGUGCGGGGUGUGCUGGCUCGAGUCGCUUUGCGAAGGGAGGUACUCUAUCACGGGUCCGCCUCGGCGUGUCCUUCCCGUGGUUCUUGGGUGCGGGGUGUGCUGGCUCGAGUCGCUUUGCGAAGGGAGGUACUCUAUCACGGGUCCGCCUCGGCGCCUUCCCCUUGAGUUUGGUAUGAGGCCUCCUCCUCUUCCCCGUACUCCUCGGUAUGUCCUGCCCGUUCCUGUCUCACGUCUUGCCUCAGGGGGCGCGUCGUUUCCUUGAGGACGUAGGGGCGCGCCACUUCCCUGGGGGGGUCUCCUCUGCUCCUGCUCUGCCAUUCGCACAAUUAUAGCCAGGCUGUCCGGGGUGAUCCCUAAUCUUUCAGCUAGGGGUCGGGCGUCUGCGUUUUGGUUGACCGUCUCUUGUCCCGUCCCUCCUGUUUGUGCGGGAGGCGUGGUCACGUCCAGGGGCGCGCCGUUUGCGUCAUAGACUCCUUGGCUUAUUAUGGCUCCUGGUGGGAGGUUAGUGUUGGGAGGCGCAUCUCCGUACUCCAACAUUCGGGGGGUCGGUCGUCUGAAACGUCUACGUCCUCUCCUACCAUGGCUUUUGGAAUGACGCGAGUGUCUGGGGACGAGUUCUUCGAGUACAGACUCCAUGGUAUUCAACCUUGCAUCAUACCUCGCUUGACUUUGCUCCAUCCGGUGGAGGGCACUAAGGAGCUCCGUGUUACUGACUACAACCGGGGGUGGGUUGUUCGGCAAAGUGCGGGGGUCCUGUAUGUGCUCCGGUGAGUAUGGUUCUACUUGUUCAUCUUCAACAUAGUAAUCUCCUUCGUACGGGUCAUCAUCGUGAUUGGCCAUCUCUUCCUCUUCGAGAUUUCACCUAGUCCCCUCCUUCUAGCGCCAAUUUGUUGAUAGAGGAAUUUGGUGAAUCAACAAACGUGAGGUUCGUUGCCGGAAUAAGGUGUUUCACGGUGAUU
rnacentral:lncRNA from 1 species